rnacentral:misc_RNA from 1 species
GGGAUAAACUCAUGGCAACUGCAACUGUGGCUACUGCAGCUGGUGCAGCUGCUCUUUUGUACUAUACAUUGAACCGGAAGUUGCAGUCAAGUACGUCUCAUGACGAUGACGAAAAUGAGAAUCUCAAUGUGGCAAGUAAUGUUCCUUUGGGAAUUGAACGAGUAUCGCAUAGGCUAGUUCAAGCCCCUGCUACAUGGUUGGAGACUAUCUCAACUUUGGCAGAGACACUUAGGUUUACUUACUCUGAGACUCUAGGAAAGUGGCCCAUUGGGGACUUGGCAUUUGGGAUCAACUUUCUAUUAAAGAGGCAGGGAAACUUGCAUGUUGGCAGCGUGUUUGGUGGUAAAGACAGCAUACAGCUGAAAGGGUCAGAAAUAACGAGUGAACUCAGAGAUCUCUUAAACCUGCUGACCUUGUGUUGGCAUUUCUCCAAAAAACCAUUUCCUUUAUUUUUGGAGGAGACAGG